AUUGAACGCUGGCGGCAGGCCUAACACAUGCAAGUCGAGCGAGCGGCGGACGGUUGCGUACUGUUUGGGAACCUGCGUGUUAGAGGGGGAUAACUACUGGAAACCGUAUCUAAUACCGCACACCAUCAGAUGUGCCCAGAUGGGAUUAGCUAGACGGUGGGGUAACGGCUCACCUAGGCGACGAUCCCCAGCUGGUGUGCGAGGAUGACCAGCCACACUGGAACUGAGACACGGUCCAGACUCCUACGGGAGGCAGCAGUGGGGAAUAGUGCGCAAUGGGCGAAAGCCUGAUGCAGCAAUGCCGCGUGUGUGAAGAAGGCCUUCGGGUUGUAAAGCACUGUCAGCGGGGAGGCGUUACCCGCAGAAGAAGCAACGGCUAACUCCGUGCCAGCAGCCGCGGUAAUUC
rnacentral:rRNA from 1 species